GUAGUCAUAUGCUUGUCUCAAAGAUUAAGCCAUGCAUGUCUAAGUAUAAGCAAUUAUACCGUGAAACUGCGAAUGGCUCAUUAAAUCAGUUAUCGUUUAUUUGAUAAUACCUUACUACUUGGAUAACCGUGGUAAUUCUAGAGCUAAUACAUGCUGAAAAUCCCGAUUUCGGAAGGGAUGUGUUUAUUAGAUAAAAGACCAAUGCCCUUCGGGGCUUUUUGGUGAUUCAUGAUAACUUUACGGAUCGCAUAGCCUUGCGCUGGCGACGGUUCAUUCAAAUUUCUGCCCUAUCAACUUUCGAUGGUAAGGUAUUGGCUUACCAUGGUUUCAACGGGUAACGGGGAAU
rnacentral:rRNA from 1 species